GGGGGUGUAGCUCAGUUGGUUAGAGUGCCUGCCUGUCACGCAGGAGGUCGCGAGUUCGAGUCUCGUCACUCCCGCCA
rnacentral:tRNA from 6 species